ensembl:lncRNA
UUUAACGUGAAUAAAUACUGUCCCUUAGGAUGAUUUUCAAAAAUUAAAUAUUUAAAAAUAUAUAUUGAUAGUAUUUUUUGUAUAAUAGCUUCAAGCUUUAUUAAAAUGUAGUUUCCAAUGCGUCAUGGAAUAUCUGGUUAUUGUAAGUGCAUUUCACUCACUAUUUUCAUUUAAAACAUCUCAAAUGAACUUUAACUGCAGAUUACAAAUGUUUUUUCAACAGACAAACCAUUAACUGUCCAUCUUCUAGGCUGAUCAUCCAAGCCCCCUACCUGUGGAGAUCACCCUUGAUGCGGGUGAUAAGGGAUUAUAAAGCUGCUGGACUGGCAGGACUCGGGACAACUGUCAUGGUCCUCGAGUGUCCGUCGGCCUGCAAGAACUUAGUUCAUUUCUUGGAAGGCCAUGGAGGCAGGCUCGAUAAAGGUUUAGUGGUGCAUCAUGCAGCAGGCGGCCCACAUGCCGCAUGUUCCAUAGUGACAUAAAGUUGGAAAACUUCAUUGUAAGCAAGGACACCCUUCAGGUCAGAUUGAUUGACUUUGGGAGCGGAGAUCUCCUGAGAAAGUCUGCCUACACAACAUUGUAUGGUAUAUAUUAUUCCUCAAAGCUGACAGAGAAAAGAGUUUGGUAAUGCAAAUUUGCAUACGAGAUGAAAUCUCUUUCCUCCAAGCACCGUGGACUACUACCCUCCUGAGUAUAGAGUCAAGGACAAGUACCAUGUGAAGUCUGCAGUGACGUGGUCUCUUGGGAUCAUCUUGUUGAUGAUGCUGUGUAGCCGUUUCCCAACUGGUGAGGACCUACACAAGACCGAACUAAACCUUUGGUCAGAGCCUGGAUUGUCAAAAGACUGCAGCCCCUUGAUCUGUAGCCUCCUGCAGCAUAAACCUAAGCAGCGGCUCGGUCUGGUUUCAGGUCUCCAUAAAAGUCAUGGAGAAAAGGAGCUUCAGCCCCAGACAUUUCCCCAGUGUCCUGUCAGCAUUGUGUCUUGCGGGCUAAAACUUUCUAUCCCUCCAUGAAACCUCUGCGUCUUGCGAGGCCGGCAGCAGUACUUGUGUCUGGCGCUACUGCUCGCUUGAGGAUGUGUAUGUCACUGUCCCAUUACUGCCUCCACAACAUGACUUCAUCACUCCAAGAGGUCCCUGUCUCAUCUGCACUGCUCACAAGAGGUUCCUGCCAUGGCCAGCUUAAAGGCAUGUAAUCAGCGCUCCACUGCCCUGGUUCCUCAGCGGUUCCUCUCAUGUUGCUCCAGAACUUCCUGUAGUGGCUACUUGAUCUCUCAAAAGCUUGUUCUGGACAACGAGGUCCCUGCAGAGUCAGCUGGGUCCCAAAGGAUCUAGUAAUGACCACUCAGAGAGGUUCAUGCCUCGGUCCAGUCUUAGAUGUUCUUGUCAUGGCUGUUCCAGAAGUUUCUGUUAUGGCUGCAUCUCAUGGCUGUCCCAAACUCUGUGCUCUAUGUGAUGUUUUCUGAGUACCAAAAGUGCCUGAAAAGACCACCCAGUACUCUCGGCUGCACCAAUACAAGAGGUCCCAAAAAGUUCCUGCCAUGAAGAACCCAAAACGGCUGCCCAGAGUUUGAGCUCCUAGUGAUAUGUGCUUGGGUCCCACAGGCUCCUGUCAUGCCUGUCCCAGUGCUGUCUGUGCCAGAGCUCCUUGUUUUGGCUUCCUUAUUACCAGAAUUCCCUUUUGAGUUCAAAUCAUGAAAGGGAUGCAAAAGAAAAUAAAGAAAGUUAAAACCAUAAAACA